rnacentral:pre_miRNA from 1 species
AAAAAACGAAUUUCUGAGUUUUUGGAUAGAAUUUUUAACUCUUCAUCUUAUUUGAAAUUUUUUUAUGAUUAAUAUUUUUAUUGUUACUAUAUGAUAAAACAUAAAUAGUACUUUACAUUUGAUUAAUUUUAUUUAAUUUUUUAAUAAAUUUUUCAAAUAAGACGGAUGGUCAAACCCUCAAUCUUGAAAACCCAG